rnacentral:rRNA from 1 species
ACUCAAAUGAAUAGACGGGGGCCCGCACAAGCAGCGGAGCGUGUGGUUUAAUUCGAUGCUACGCGAAGAACCUUACCCGGGCUUGACAUGCAAGUGGUAGGGGAGCGAAAGCCGACCGACCCUUCGGGGAGCUUGCACAGGUGCUGCAUGGCUGUCGUCAGCUCGUGUCGUGAGAUGUCCGGUUAAGUCCGGUAACGAGCGCAACCCCUGCCGGAUGUUACAGGUACCAUCCGGGACUGCCGGUUUGAAACCGGAGGAAGGUGGGGAUGACGUCAAGUCAGCAUGGCCUUGAUGUCCGGGGCUACACACACGCUACAAUGGCCGGUACAAUGGGUUGCAAAACCGCAAGGUGGAGCCAAUCCCCAAAGCCGGUCUCAGUUCAGAUUGCAGGCUGCAACUCGCCUGCAUGAAGUCGGAGUUGCUAGUAACCGCAGGACAGCUAUACUGCGGUGAAUACGUUCCCGGGCCUUGCACACACCGCCCGU